UUUUUUUUUUUUUUUCUUCAUUGUCAGAAAGUCAGCUGCUUACUCCCAGAGUUUAUUUUGUUUUAGUUCACCUUAUUUUAUUCAGAUUUUCAAGUUAGCAUUCUUUAGCGGUUAUUAUUAUUAUAAUCCAUGACCUCAUGGAUCCUAGGAAAUACCUAUGUGUUACACAUUUGUUUCUGUCCCUCGUACCUGCUCAUCUUACCUGAGUUUGUAUAAAAUCUUCCUACUUUUUCGAAAGUCCCUAUCUGAGUUAGACGCACACAGCCCCCCUUAUAGCAUCAAGCAAAAUCCAGAAGGAGUUUUCUAAUGUUUGCUGUGGGUCUGGAGCAUGAAAAGCCUUUUUGUUCUACCCAGAAAGACACUGAACUGGGGUCUGGCCACAUGCCUGAGGCCACUCGGUAAGUAGCGCAAGGAGAGCCAAGAACCUCGAUGUGAUGGGCAAAAAUACCCAGUAAAAGUUCCAACUUGUAAACUUUGGCAGACCGCUGGGUGAUACGAAACGGACCAUCCAGAAUGGAGGAUCCGUUCGGAGAGCAGAGGGUCAGAAAUGAGCCUCCAGUCUUUCUAAGUCAAUCGAAUGAAUGUCAGGUAUGGAAGGUAGUAAGGGCCAGUAAUCUAGAUAUGGGUUUUUGAAAUUCUGAAACAGUGCUUUUUCAUGACAUAAAUCCACAGGCAAAAUAGCCAGGAUGUAUGAAGAAGGGAUUUUUUUUUUAACUUUUAUAUUUACGUCACAUGGAUAUAACCUAGGCUUCCUUCCAGUCUGUUUUCUCCUCUCCUAAAGAUAGAUACUGCAGGAGGAGGAGGGCUGGGGUCUAAGCUGACUGUGUGACAGUGUAGUUCGUGUCUGUUUAAGCCACCCAGUUGGUGGUACUUUGUUAUAGCAGCUCUGGGAAGCUGAUACAGUCGGAUUCUUGUUUCCAACCCUUUGUGAGCACUGGUUGGUGUGGUUUGAUGUGGCUUUUGAUAGAAAGACCACAGGUCAUAAGACAUAGACAUUUGGGAUUCGUGAGGUAAGAGGCUUCCUAGGGCCCAAGGAGAACAGCUCCUGUGACAGACUGAGUGCUCUGUGUGUGGCUCCCAGUUCCUCCUCCUGGGCAUGCUGGGGGGCUUCCCGGGCUCCUUCAGAACGAAGUUGGUAACAGCAGCCUGCUGCCAGGCUUCCAUAGUCUCUGUCUCGAUUUCUCUUUUUCUGCCACCAUGACCUUGAAGGCACCGUGUUCCGUGUGCUCAGUACGUUAAGAAGGUGAGCCAUCUAUUCCCAUCAGUAUCUGUAAGCCUGAGAAAUAAACAUUCUUUGUGUUAUGCUUGAUUGUUGGUCUUCAUUUGUAAUUUCAGAAAGCGCUAUCCUCUCCUCUGACCCCAGCAGGGAUUGUUCCCAAAAGGAUUAGAGGGGGUAUUCGGGGAACUGAGAUUGUAGCAUCGCUGACCUUGCAGAGGCCGACUUUUCAAAGAGGUCCGCACUCUCCUCCCACUCAUUCCGUUGCAGCUUGGAGAAAAUCUAAUUAAACCAAGUGCAGUCCUGGUGGGCUUGAGCUCAAGAGCAAGAAAUGCUUCCAUUUUCACACAUAGCGGCUGUAUGACCCUCGGCAGAUUGCCUCUGUGCUCAGAACCUCAGUUUGUUCGCGUGUAAAGUGGGAAGCAGCAGCUCCCUCGCAGACCUGUUUCGAGGUUUAAACGGAAUGAGUUACAUCAUGGCGAUUGAUAGCAGCCAUCCACUGAUAAAUCAUUAAGCAUCAGUUUGAUUAUGCACUUCCCUUACUUUAUCAAGAAGGCUACUAUAUUUGGUCGUCAGAUGGGCUUCUCUCCCUGGUGCUUCAGAAUCUUUGUAUUCUCAACAGACACCUAACAAACCCAUGAACUUCCUGUGUGGCUACACACCUCUCCCUUAAAAUGGGCAGCGGGAACAUUGCCUGUGGACUAGGGUUUCCAGAUUUUGUCCUCUAGACAGGGAGGUUUGGUUUUGCUGUACAAAUUAGGGGCUUGGUACCAGACUUUAGAUUACAUUUUAGAAUAAUGCCAUUGCUUAUUAUGUCCAAAAAAGGAGGAUGCGAUAGCAUUGUGUUUAAAUAAAGCUCCUCUUAAUUGCAAGAAUGUGUGAGCAUUUCUGAGGGAGAAACAAGUGACAUUUCAGUUUACAUAAUCAACAUCUGUGUUUAACAUUCUCUUUUUAAUGGUGUGUAUUUCACCCUUGGCUGUGCCCUCUUCCUUGUACCCAGAACUAAGAAAUCAUAAUUUCUGGAGUGGGGGUCCCGGCACACGUGUUUUUUGAUGGCCCUGAAGUGAUUCCAGUGAAACUCUCCUUUGGGGAAAACCUGAUGAAAGACGCGUAAUAACAGUUGUCACCGUGCUAGGGGUGCAGUUGACACGAAGUCUUCCAGGGUUUUCCGAGGCGCGCCAUUGUAAGGGAUGCUCGUUCUCAUUGUCUCCAUUUUUCAGAUACGGAAACAGAAUCUCAGAAUUGAAAAGUCUCGCCCAAGUUCACACAGUUAGGGUGCAGUGAAGUUAACUCGCACCUUGGCUUGUCCGGGUACAAAGCCUUCUGCCAAAAGGCCAGUCCCUUGUUCUGCUGAUUCCCCUUCGUCUGGCGUAAGCAUGAUUCUGGUCACGAACAUCUGAAUUGGUUUGCUGCCUCUGAAGGUAAAGCAAGUCACGAAUUCCCACGAGGCACCACCGUGUCAAAAAUGAUACGGAGCCAGUGGUAGUGGUCCUGGAGAGGACAGAUGCGCUCCCUCGCAUUUCGCUCUGAAAAUUCUGAUGGAGAGGCCCGUCUGGUCACUGCCUGGAAUCACAGCAUAGAGGUGGUUCAAAUCAAUACGAGUGAGAGAGAAGGUGAAUCUUCUUGAUGGAGUUUGAUAAAGGGCUGAGUCACACUCUGCGCACAAACCAACCUCCCCAUCCACCCAGGUGGACCUUCUCACAAUUCUAAACGCAGAUGGCUCUUCCUUCCUUCCUUCCUUCCUUCCUUCCUUCCUUCCUUCCUUCCUCUCUCUCUCUCUUUCUUUCUUUCCUUUUGUGGCCAAGAGUCCUCUCUGGAAUGGCUGCUUUCACGCUGUCGGCCUCGCGUCAUCAGACCCGGCCUUGCCCCCGGAAGAGGAUCUGCUUCCCUAGGGCUGGGAGGACAUCACAUCCGUCUUGGAGACCCAGGAUCUGGAUUCAGAAUCAAUGUCUGGCAUUAGAGCAGGCACGGGACUUAAAAAAAUAAAUGAACGAAAUGAUGACUCGGGGGGAGUUUGGUCCCUCGGAGCUGGGCCUAGGGGUUUCCUGAGCCAAGAAUCCCUGCUGGUCCUCUGAGUGUAUUCAGAACCAAAGCACCAGUGCGAUGUGUCUUGCCAUUUGCGGUCGCCCCCCGAGUUCGUUGCAUCGUGGGAGAAUUAGCUCGGAGCCUAAGCCCCAGCUGAUGGGAGCAUGUCAUCCCUGCUCCAUUCAGAGGAUUCCCCCCAGUAAUUAUAGGGUAAAUGCCUUGUUAAAUCCUAAGCCCUCACAAUACGUCUCCCGACACGGAGUUCAUAUUCCUUGGGCAGUUGAUCGCACUUUCGAGUGGUACAUAUUUUAUAGAGAAGGGAGAGCUCUCCAAUUAAUAGUAAUUGUGAUCGAAGCGGUAAUGCUUGUCUCCAGCCUCAUUCCGCGAGAGGAGACUGGAAGGCCCAUCUUAAUUGCCACAAAGAGCUAUGUCUAUCCGCGGCAGGAUAUAAAUAAUAAAUUAGAGGAAGGGAGAGCACUGCAAUUCUUAGGGUCUUCGAGGAGGUACGGAUAUUUAUGUAGUGCUGAUUGCUAAAAAUCCUCUCCAAGUAAUUAUUAGUAAAAGCGGAAUGUCUACAUUUGUAAGGGAAUUUUAAUUAAGGGGAAGGUGACUGUCAUUACGGGGAAGAAGUAGCGUUUGGGGAUUAAAAUGCAGGUCCAGGGCCGAGCAUCCAGGUCUGAUUGGCUGUCGCUGCUGCCUCUUGGACAGUGGCAGCAAAGUCAGUUCCUCUGGGUUCAAUUUCCCUUGGUUUUUCAACCAGGAGAAAUAAAGCAGUUAAAAGUGCUUGAAGUUCUGGAGUUCCCUUUGUGGCUCAGCAGAAAUGAACCCAACUAGUAUCCAUGAGGAUGCUGUGUGGCUGUGGCUGUGGUGUAGGCGGCAGCUACAGCUCCAAUUCAGCUCCUAGCCUUGGAACGUCCAUAUGCUGUGAGUGCAACCCUAAAAAGCAAAAC
rnacentral:lncRNA from 1 species